AUUUAGUUAACAUCAUUCAAAGCGCGUUUUGUAACAUUCUUCUACAUUUUCUAAUUAAAUCAAAAUUUUAUAAAAUAAUUGUAAUAACGUAAAAUAUAAUAUGUUUAACACAUAUUGUACCGCUGGAAAGUAAAUCUAGAGUGAAAACUACGUGUCAAGUUGUAUCGUUAUUCGUUACCUUUUUCUUACUUUCACCAACUUUCUUUCGGAAUAAUAUUUACGUAACGCACACGUUUUGGGUGAAUUUUUAUAUAUUAUGUAUAUGCAUAAUCCAACAGUAUAAUAAAUAGUAUAUCACAGCCUUGAAGCCUACAUUUAUUAUUCAUAACCACGGAUCAAUUAAGACACCUAGGGCGCCUACUAAAUACUAAUUAGCUAACACUUGUAGUGACAGCUACGUGACAUGCCCACUACUAACUUUCAUUGCGAAUACUAACAGUAACUGCUAGCAGGUACAUUCUACUAACAACGGCUCUAGAAUACUAAUUCUGGUACCACUAGCGAUUCUUCUAACUUUUCUUACUAACACUAACGCUAGAUACCAUAUAGUGAAAACGGCAAAGACGUUCCGUAGUGAAUAGUGAAAUAAAACAAAUAGACAAUACGUUUGUGAGAUCGAACCAUAGACAAUGACGUCACACGUGAAAUUACGUGUUGGGGUUCGUGCCAGGAGUGCGUUUGCAAAGAGCGUGACGUUGCGUUGUGGCAAGUUGACACUGUAAAUGCACUAUCUGGUACGACACCCCGGCCCGUGUAGCGCCGCCUGACCUGCCACUCGGAGUUAUGGACUAUAGUGACCCUUUUACUUCAGUUAACGCUUAGAUUAUGUUAUGUUAAGGGUUGGCAACGUGACGAGGCGAUGCAAAAGCCAUUCCAAAUUGGAACAGCCAGGUGAUUUUUUUUCGGCACUCAGAGAUGAUCAUGAGCUUUAAUUUAAUGAAGAGUUUGACAGAAAAUGUAUGUUGUUUAUCAUUAGAUCAAAGGAAAUCAUUAAGUUUCUCUGACGCCUCAGGCCGUAAAUGAGCCAUUCAAAACUGGAAUAGGCAGCCCCACACCACGGGCGACAAGUUUAUGUUUUUGUGGAGUAAAUAAAGUUCAGUUUUGAAUGGUUUAUCACAAAAUGUGUAAUCGUAUCGCCUCGUCACGUUGCAAUGUCAACUGACCUUAAGUUGUGCAUGCUCGUACUAUCUUCUGCGUGAUUUAAGUUUAUGUACUUGUAUUGUAGAUGUCUAUGCAAUUUAUUAUGUUAUUCUUAUUUUCUUAUGUUGAUUUUGUUGUAAUAAAACUGCUUUUACUGUAUGUGUAUGUUUUGAUUACAGCUUUCUUCUUAGUU